UACGAAGGGUGCGAGCGUUGUUCGGAUUCAUUGGGCGUAAAGGGUGCGUAGGCGGCGCGGUAAGUCGGGUGUGAAAUCUUGGAGCUUAACUCCGAAACUGCAUUCGAUACUGCCGUGCUUGAGGACUGGAGAGGAGACUGGAAUUUACGGUGUAGCGGUGAAAUGCGUAGAUAUCGUAAGGAAGACCAGUGGCGAAGGCGGGUCUCUGGACAGUUCCUGACGCUGAGGCACGAAGGUCAGGGGAGCAAACGGG
rnacentral:rRNA from 1 species